UAUUAUCGAUGAAAAGAAAAAUUGGACCUCUCUGCCUCCUCUCAGUUCUCCACACCCACACACUUCAGUACCUUAUCCCUUCCAUUGUCUCCGCACCGCUCUCAGAAAAAAAGCCACCGCAUCCUCGGUGCUCCCGGCGGCUACGGCGAAGGAGUCCCUGGGCAUGCUGCUGCUGCGCCGACGCCUUCGCCAUCCGCACCGUCGUGGGCAAUGCCAAAUACAACGCCGAUGCUGCAUAUACGCGCGCGCGCCGGUCGCCGCCGCGGCCUCGGUGCGCCCGACCACGGAGGAGGGGGAGGAGCAGGCGCAGUGGCGAAGGAGCCGGCAGCGUAGACGGAGGGAGAGGAGUAGCGCGAGGGGCGCGGACGGAGGGGUCGCCGGGGACGUUUGGCGCGCCACCACACAACGGUCCCGGGCCGCCGCCGGGAGGCAGAGAGGCGACAAGAGGUGGGAGGAUAACCGAACAACGGGCUCGCAGGGUCACUAUGCGAGAGCACAUAUCCUCGCAUGGCAGCUUACAUGUAGCCCUAUAAAAUCAAAUUCAGCCCCAUGUUACCUGAUUUCCUGUUAAUGGAUUUUACUGCUUUUCUGUUUUGGACCCUGUGUAACUUGUUGUAUUUCUAGAGCAGUGCAGCGAGGAGGAGGCUAUGAAGUACGUCCAAUACUUUAACCUACAACCAUCUAAUAUGCAAAUUUAAUAAUAGAAGAAGAUGACCUCAUUUAUAUACUGGAAAAUGAAAAACAUAAAAAGUAUAAGAUGACCCAAUUACUCUUUUAUGUGCACCUUGUGUGCGUAGACACUGGACUACAAUUGUAGCAACAAAGAGUAUAUCAAUUUAUCAGGUAAUAGAAAUAGUGCUACUUUUUUGGAUGCAGUCACAAAGACAAGACUUUUUUUGUGAUUAGAGAGGGUGCUUUCUUACUUGCUGAUCACUGAAUGCGUGAGUAAUCAUUAUUAUGUUGGAUUGGUAGAUGUUGUUUGAUGCCAUAAAAAUGCUCUGUACCUGAAUCAACUAUAGAGUGCCCAAAGAAAGAAGAAAUAAGCACUUUCGAUAAUUUAGCACCAUUAAAAAAUCGAUGAACUAACCUUUUUUUUAAAGACACUUCUGCGAUAUGUAGGUUGACCAUUGUACUGAGUUGGGGGUUCUCAAACAGUUUGACAUUUGUGUGUCAUUUGUCUUGAAAUUCUUUGCAUCUGGUACGCAUCAUUUGUGUGCAACCAAUUGGACUCAUCAUCUUCAUAAAUAUUCUCUUUUUCAUCGAGGAUGUCUCUGUUGAAAUGCAUGGAAUUUGGUACUGCACCACCUGCACAUGUUAUGUUCUGCAGUUGUGUGGCUACCAAUUGUCCGGUAGCUGGUACUUGCGACACAAUGUUACUGUCAUCGAGGACAGCAGCAAUAUGCUUAUUUUGCUUGCGGGUUUGGCGUUGUCGCUUUAAUAUUUCCUCUCUAUUUUGUGCAUACCGCUCCCUUUCCAUCCGAUUCUUAAUCUCAUUACGGUCUGAAUAUAUGAACAAUAGAUCAUUAUAUAGUAAUCCAACUGGGCCGUAUAUCAUGAAGUUGAUCAUCGUUACCUUGUGAUACAGCCAACUGCGUGUGUGCUCUGUUAUUUAGGCCAUUGAUCUUGGCAGCGGCAAUUUUUUUCUGUUUGUAGGCCUCAUGCCGUCUCUUAUUAAUCUCAUCCCUAUUUUGUGCAUAUUGCUCUCUAUCCAUCUGCCUUUUUAUUUCUUUAGGGUCUGCAAAUCAUGACACAAUUCAGCAGUUGAGCAACAAUCGAGGGACUGGGUUAUGAUCAUUACCUGUUGGGAGUGCUCGGUGAGGCUUUUAGGUGAGGUCAGUACCAUGUGCAUUUGCCAAUGCUUCAUGGUAUGAUUUCAGGUUUAGGUCAGAAAAGCAACAGGAUCAAUCAAAUGGAUCACACUGGCAACAUGUUGGCAAAUAAGCAUGCACCUGCGGAGCAGUUCAUCGGCGCUGUGACUUCGUCGUAUGCGCAGUGCGGCGAUGGCGCGGGACAGUCUGGGUGGCGGCGGCGUGUAAAAGCCUCACAAAGUUCAGACAGUCUGGGCGGCACCUUUGUUGGCGAAGAGCUCAGACGUGAAUGACGCGGGGCAGGUCAGCUCGUCGCACCCGUCGUCGGGUCCCUCGCCGGCUGGGCAGGGCAGCGAUGGCGCAGGUCAACCUGGACGCCUGGAUGGGAACAAAGUUUAGACAGUCUGGGCGGUACCUGUAUUGACGAAGAGCUCGUCGUUGUGGCCGUCGUCUGGUGCCUUGCCGUCUACGCAGGGCAGCGAUGGCGCAGGUAAACCUGGAUGCCUGGACGGCAAUAGAGUUCAGCUAGUCUCGGCGCGGCACCUGUGUCGGCAAAGAGCUCGUCGUCGCCGCCGUGGUCGGGUGCCUCGUCGGCUGUCCAGGGCAGCGAUGUCGCGGGUUAACCUGGACGCCUGGAUGGCAACGCGGAACGGCGGCGGCGGGGCGGGGGAAAAUAAAUUGGUUGCCGCUAAUUUAGCAACUUUCUUUCUGUGUUGUUGAACAAUUCAUGCGGAACGAACGUUUGGUUUCCCUUUUGCGAUUGUUUUUUCUCUCCAUAUAAAUUGGACGUGGGUUGUUUGAUUGUUUCCCUUGUACGUGGGCGUGGGUUUCUCUUGUGCGAGUGUGGGUCCGGCAGAGUUUUCGUUCGUCAUGUUCUCCGCGCGUCGUGGGUUGCCUGGCGGCGGCGUUCGUAGUGUAGAAGUGUAGAUACGCGCCGCGCGUCGUGGGUUGCCUGGCUCGUCUGCAGUUGAUGAAAAGGAUGAAUCGUCGCAUGCACACCCGCCGGUACCCUUUCGCACUAUGACGAGUGGCCCGAGUUGGCUGAUGGUCCUGUUCGUCAGUGGUUUCUUUAUUGGCUGGGACAGCCCGUUGAACGUGCGAGAGCACUUUGGGCCAGGCCGCACUUCCCGCGCCGCGCGCGACGUGCCUGACUCCUUUCGCCCAGACGCCCAGCCCCACAGCCGCCGCAGCACUCCACCCCCAUCCUCCUGUCCUCCACCAUGAGAGCCUCCUCCUCCGCCUCCCCGCCGCGACCUCUUCCUUCCUUGGCCGGCAGUCACUGCAUCUCCUCACCGUGGGGAGUGACAGUAGCGGCAGGGAGAGGGGGUAUCCUCCUCCCAUCCCCUCGAGCCGCCGGUGCCGGAUCCCGCUUCCGCCGUCCCCUUCGCGCAGUCCUCCGCGCCCGCCGGCCAACUACAUGUGCAUCACCCUGGUAAGUCCCAGCCCAUGCUCUGUUCUUAUUCUCCGGUGAGAUUUUCUCAGCUCCGCAUUUUUUUAUCUUUAUGUUUCUUCUCCGGCUUGAGGGAGUGGAUUUCCAUCACUGGAUUCUUGGAUAAAAUGAGGAGAUGCAAGAUAGUUCACAACCGCAUGGGCCAAACCUACAGGCUAUAGCUGGAUCGGCCUUGUUAAGUGAUAAUAUAUUAAGAUCUGGAACAUUGUGGAGCAACGAGUGACAAAAGUAUUAGAUGAGAUCUGAAACAAUGCAGCUAACUCUUGGUUGACUGGACUUAUGAGGCGCAAGAGAGAGCUACAUCGAGGUUUCACUGAGGGAGAUGGGGUUGAUGGAGAAGAAGAGGAAACAGAGGCGGGUGUUCUUGCGGCGCUCGGCUGGUUCCAAGACCGUGAGGGGAAGGACUUCAUGCCUCUGGAGGGGAAAGAGCAGAGGAUUCGGGAGAAGAAGCAACCAGAGGAGCCGGAGAACACGGCCCCUGUCCUGUAUAUCAGCCACAUCCCCCAUGCUUCUAUGAGUACCAGAUGCAAGGUUUCUCAGUAGCUUGGGGCUAUUAAGAAGAUGGUCAGUUGGUCAGUAUUGCCUGGAACUGCAAGAUAUCCUAUACUGCAUUAUUACAAGAUAUCUGGCGAUUUGUGUGUUUUCUGCAAGCCUCUAACUUGCUGUUUGGUGAUAUAUAUGUAGACAGGAAAAUCUAAGCAUUCAGAUAGUUAUAAGUACAUAUAUUUCAGUUGCAACUAAACUGUACAUGACGAUGAAUGAAUAUUAACUAAGUCAUUCACACAAAUAAAAAAGUAUCACGGCUAGAGUGAAUAUCCAAUUAUCAGUUCAUGAAGUCAGACAGAUAAAAAAGCUGAUUCUUAAACACGAACAAAUAGAUAGAAUCUCGCACAAUUGCGACACCUUCGCCUUAUCGUUGUUACCUUUUCUGCUUCCCUUCUCUUUAUUCCCCUUAAUUCUGUUUAUCCUACCCCUAGAUCGAAUAUCAUUUUGGCGGGUGGAUGUUAACUUCAUUAGUAAUGGUGCAGCCAAUAAAUUCUUCAAACUCUUGUGGUACAAUUUGUUGUUUUGCUGGGACAUUCAGUUCGUUGCUUUCCAUCUCUAGAGAGCACGCCUCAUUCUGAUUGUUUAGUUUGAAUUAGCACAUUGAGGACAAAACAUCUCUUUUGGUUCCAUCUACUGCAGAACCUACUGGACAGAACAAAGUCGAGGGAAGAAGUAUGCGAGUCAAGUAUCCGUGAUGACCAACUGAUGAAAAUCACAUUUGAGUGGCCCAAUCGUUUGAUCUGCUCCAACACUACCGUUCCGGCUUUCAGAUUGAGUAACCUGUACCCACGUCUACUGCAAACCUACUAGACAGAAUAAAAUUGAGGGAAUAAGUAUAUAAACUCGUUAGUUAAUCAAGAUGAAUAGAUUUGCCUAUCCGCAGACAGCUCUGAAUCAGUUUUUACCCUUUCUUUUCUAGAAAGAUAAGAACAAUACCCAGUACGAUCCUCUUCUUCUGUACCAGCUUCACCGAGGAGCCAAUUAGUACAAAAAUGUCUUUUGAAUUUCAUAGUUUUGGUCAUGAUGCCAUCAUACCGCAUGCAUGGUGCUUAUGCAACUAUAAGUCUAUAACUACAGAAAUGUACCUUUCUUUGCCUACAGCUAAAUAUGACCCGUCUUAGAUGGUUUGGAAGAACUAAUAUAUGUACUCUCCCUUUUGCCUACUUUUGGGUAUGAAUAGUUCAACUGAUUUUUGGUGAUUCACAUUAUAGUAUCCAGCUUUCCUGGCUCUAUUUUGUGCAUCUAAAUUUUUUGUGUGCAAAAAUGUUCCUGAAAAGACAUGAGUUGUAUAGUUCAGCAUCCUGCUUUGUGGUAGGUUGAUAAUAUUCCAUUUUUAUGAUUACCCUGCUUUAGAUUAUUCUUGUGUGCCUUGUGCAACCUUUCCAUUCUAGGCAUCAUUUCUCAAUUGUUUGGGGUCCAAUUCUACAAAUGCUUGGAUGUGUUGGUUCGGCCUUCUGUUAAUCUCCAGAUGAUAGGAAUAACUAAGCCUUUCAAGGAUGUUGCUUGAAGAUGGAGGGAUCUUUCCCUACAAGUUUGUUCUUUUUGUUGUUACAGCAAAGACUACUUUUUGGGUUGUCGAGGUGAGCUGUAUGAUGUAAGCACUUAUGGAGGAGAAAAAAUUACUUAGAAUUUGACUUCUCCUGCGUUUAUAGGCUAAUCAAGUGACCUUUUGUCAACUUUUAUGCAAUCUGGCUCUCCAAAUUUUGUGCUUACUCUGAACACUCAAAAUUUGUGCUUUGCUGUCCUGUGUUGAUUAGUGAAAUCCUGGUUUUGUCUUAAAGACUAUACCCAGCCAUGUCCUAGGUUUUUCAUUUUGUAUGAAUUUCAUGUUUCCCUGGAAUAUGAGAAUACACCAACUGGAAGAACUGUUGAGCAACACAUUUUCAUGGGAUUUUAUAUGUUGCGAUGUCUGAUUUUUGUCUCUCUUCCAGUUUACAUAGAGAAGCCUCGGUAAGUACUCAAGAAUUUUGUUUUCGUCUAUAUUGACAGACUUUAGGUAUUUUUUUAGAAUGAUUCUGAAACGAGGUCACUCCUACUGAUCUUGCUCUUCGUGUCCGGUGGCAGGAUGCUAGGUCAAGAAUGCAGGGUGGGCGAAAGAAAAUUGUGAAUGCUUUUAUCUCCGUGGUCAUUUGGAGCAUAUGGAGGGACAAGAUAGCGGGCUUUAAUAGUGUCUUCGCGCUGCUCCAGAGAGUCAUCGAUCCUGAUACUAGGCAGUAGGCUGGUGUGAGCUUGGGUCAUUUGAUCAUCCCCGAUUGUGUAAAGACUCCUCUGUAAUAUAUGCAAUCCUAUUGCAUGGUUUAAAAAAGAAUGAUUCUGAAACGGGUGUAAAGCAGUGUAUGUGCUUGGCCACAGCUAAACCUACUAAUAUAUGGAAUUUUUUUUCAAAGCA